AGCCUACGGGAGGCAGCAGUGAGGAAUAUUGGUCAAUGGCCGAGAGGCUGAACCAGCCAAGUCGCGUGAGGGAAGAAUGUCCUAAGGAUUGUAAACCUCUUUUGUCGGGGAGCAAAAAGGCUCUGCGGAGUCGUAUUGAGAGUACCCGAAGAAAAAGCAUCGGCUAACUCCGUGCCAGCAGCCGCGGUAAUACGGAGGAUGCGAGCGUUAUCCGGAUUUAUUGGGUUUAAAGGGUGCGUAGGCGGAAUGCCAAGUCAGCGGUAAAAUCGCGGGGCUCAACCUCGCUCCGCCGUUGAAACUGGCGU
rnacentral:rRNA from 1 species